rnacentral:rRNA from 1 species
GACGAACGCUGGCGGCGCGCCUAACACAUGCAAGUCGAACGAGAAUCAGCUUGCUUCUCAUGCGAGUGGCGAACGGGUGAGUAACGCGUGAGGAACCUGCCUCAAAGAGGGGGACAACAGUUGGAAACGACUGCUAAUACCGCAUAAGCCCACAGCUCGGCAUCGAGCAGAGGGAAAAGGAGCAAUCCGCUUUGAGAUGGCCUCGCGUCCGAUUAGCUAGUUGGUGAGGUAAUGGCCCACCAAGGCGACGAUCGGUAGCCGGACUGAGAGGUUGAACGGCCACAUUGGGACUGAGACACGGCCCAGACUCCUACGGGAGGCAGCAGUGGGGAAUAUUGCACAAUGGGGGAAACCCUGAUGCAGCGACGCCGCGUGGAGGAAGAAGGUCUUCGGAUUGUAAACUCCUGUUGUUGAGGAAGAUAAUGACGGUACUCAACAAGGAAGUGACGGCUAACUACGUGCCAGCAGCCGCGGUAAAACGUAGGUCACAAGCGUUGUCCGGAAUUACUGGGUGUAAAGGGAGCGCAGGCGGGAAGACAAGUUGGAAGUGAAAUCUAUGGGCUCAACCCAUAAACUGCUUUCAAAACUGUUUUUCUUGAGUAGUGCAGAGGUAGGCGGAAUUCCCGGUGUAGCGGUGGAAUGCGUAGAUAUCGGGAGGAACACCAGUGGCGAAGGCGGCCUACUGGGCACCAACUGACGCUGAGGCUCGAAAGUGUGGGUAGCAAACAGGAUUAGAUACCCUGGUAGUCCACACCGUAAACGAUGAUUACUAGGUGUUGGAGGAUUGACCCCUUCAGUGCCGCAGUUAACACAAUAAGUAAUCCACCUGGGGAGUACGACCGCAAGGUUGAAACUCAAAGGAAUUGACGGGGGCCCGCACAAGCAGUGGAGUAUGUGGUUUAAUUCGACGCAACGCGAAGAACCUUACCAAGUCUUGACAUCCUGCGACGCACAUAGAAAUAUGUGUUUCCUUCGGGACGCAGAGACAGGUGGUGCAUGGUUGUCGUCAGCUCGUGUCGUGAGAUGUUGGGUUAAGUCCCGCAACGAGCGCAACCCUUACUGUCAGUUACUACGCAAGAGGACUCUGGCAGGACUGCCGUUGACAAAACGGAGGAAGGUGGGGAUGACGUCAAAUCAUCAUGCCCUUUAUGACUUGGGCUACACACGUACUACAAUGGCGUUAAACAAAGAGAAGCAAGACCGCGAGGUGGAGCAAAACUCAGAAACAACGUCCCAGUUCGGACUGCAGGCUGCAACUCGCCUGCACGAAGUCGGAAUUGCUAGUAAUCGUGGAUCAGCAUGCCACGGUGAAUACGUUCCCGGGCCU